CUAAUUAGCUGGCAGGGGAAGACACCGUGAUUAUGAAGAUGGUACUCCCAGGAUGAGGCUAUCGCAUUACACUUCAGAUGUGCUGCUGCCUGCGAUGUCCCCAAGCACAGGAUGCUCAACUACACAAUUGGCAGUGAGACGACAUUUGUGUUCUCCCCC